CCUACGGGAGACAGCAGUGGGGAAUAUUGCGCAAUGGGCGAAAGCCUGACGCAGCGACGCCGCGUGAGGGAUGAAGGUCUUCGGAGCGGAAACCUCUGUCAGCAGGGAAGAAAGGUAAAGGAGCUAAACAGCAGUGAAUGGAAGGUACCGGCAAAGGAAGCACAGGCUAACUCCGUGCCAGCAGCCUCGGUAAGACUGAGGGUGCGAUCGUUAAUCGGAAUUACUGGGAGUAAAGCGCUCGUAGGCGGUAUGUCACGUCAAGGGUGAAAUCCCCGCGCUCAACCUGGGAACUGCCUUUGAAACUGGCAAACUGGAGUGUGUGAGAGGCUAGUGGAAUUCCUGGUGUAGCGGU
rnacentral:rRNA from 1 species